AACGAACGCUGGCGGCAUGCCUAACACAUGCAAGUCGAACGAGACCUUCGGGUCUAGUGGCGCACGGGUGCGUAACGCGUGGGAAUCUGCCCUUGGGUUCGGAAUAACAGCGAGAAAUUGCUGCUAAUACCGGAUGAUGACGUAAGUCCAAAGAUUUAUCGCCCAAGGAUGAGCCCGCGUAGGAUUAGCUAGUUGGUGGGGUAAAGGCUCACCAAGGCGACGAUCUGUAGCUGGUCUGAGAGGACGACCAGCCACACUGGAACUGAGACACGGUCCAGACUCCUACGGGAGGCAGCAGUGGGGAAUUUUGGACAAUGGGCGCAAGCCUGAUCCAGCAAUGCCGCGUGCAGGAUGAAGGCCUUCGGGUUGUAAACUGCUUUGUACGGAACGAAACGGCUCUUUCUAAUAAAGAGGGCUAAUGACGGUACCGUAAGAAUAAGCACCGGCUAACUACGUGCCAGCAGCCGCGGUAAU
rnacentral:rRNA from 1 species